rnacentral:rRNA from 1 species
GGGUUGUGAGGUUAAGCGACUAAGCGUACACGGUGGAUGCCCUGGCAGUCAGAGGCGAUGAAGGGCGUGCUAAUCUGCGAUAAGCGCCGGUAAGGUGAUAUGAACCGUUAUAACCGGCGAUACCCGAAUGGGGAAACCCAGUGUGACUCGUCACACUAUCAUUAACUGAAUCCAUAGGUUAAUGAGGCGAACCGGGGGAACUGAAACAUCUAAGUACCCCGAGGAAAAGAAAUCAACCGAGAUUCCCCCAGUAGCGGCGAGCGAACGGGGAGGAGCCCAGAGCCUGAAUCAGCAUGUGUGUUAGUGGAAGCGUCUGGAAAGACGCGCGAUACAGGGUGACAGCCCCGUACACAAAAGCGUAUGUGCUGUGAGCUCGAUGAGUAGGGCGGGACACGUGGUAUCCUGUCUGAAUAUGGGGGGACCAUCCUCCAAGGCUAAAUACUCCUGACUGACCGAUAGUGAACCAGUACCGUGAGGGAAAGGCGAAAAGAACCCCGGCGAGGGGAGUGAAAAAGAACCUGAAACCGUGUACGUACAAGCAGUGGGAGCACAGGUUUACCUGUGUGACUGCGUACCUUUUGUAUAAUGGGUCAGCGACUUAUAUUCUGUAGCAAGGUUAACCGAAUAGGGGAGCCGGAGGGAAACCGAGUCUUAAUUGGGCGUUAAGUUGCAGGGUAUAGACCCGAAACCCGGUGAUCUAGCCAUGGGCAGGUUGAAGGUUGGGUAACACUAACUGGAGGACCGAACCGACUAAUGUUGAAAAAUUAGCGGAUGACCUGUGGCUGGGGGUGAAAGGCCAAUCAAACCGGGAGAUAGCUGGUUCUCCCCGAAAGCUAUUUAGGUAGCGCCUCGUGAAUUCAUCUCCGGGGGUAGAGCACUGUUUCGGCUAGGGGGUCAUCCCGACUUACCAACCCGAUGCAAACUGCGAAUACCGGAGAAUGUUAUCACGGGAGACACACGGCGGGUGCUAACGUCCGUCGUGAAGAGGGAAACAACCCAGACCGCCAGCUAAGGUCCCAAAGUCAUGGUUAAGUGGGAAACGAUGUGGGAAGGCCCAGACAGCCAGGAUGUUGGCUUAGAAGCAGCCAUCAUUUAAAGAAAGCGUAAUAGCUCACUGGUCGAGUCGGCCUGCGCGGAAGAUGUAACGGGGCUAAACCAUGCACCGAAGC